GUAUGGUGCAUCCACCAAUGGUCUGCACUUAGGGAGGACCGCGUAGUACUACCAUCCAUGGGAGCAUGACGAUGGCGGUGUGGGUCAAGAUGCCAUCGGAUACCUCCAUGUUCUUUCUCAUCCGAUCACAGUACCUCCCCCUCGCUGCCCUUUUCUCCGGGAGGAUGCUAUCGUCUGUGGCACGACUGCUGACAGCGCGCCUUCGAGGUGCCUCUCAAGAGUAUCUGCAAGUGCUCGAGAUCCCUAACUUGCGUGCAUCCAUUGUAUGAGAAGCGGCGUUUUCAAAUGGUGGAUUCCGACCAAGAAAUUCAAAUCGCAUUUGAUUCUUUGAGGUUGGAGGAUCGGUCGCGUGUCCUUUGCGAGGCGGAUCUAUAUCAGGAUGAUCUGUAUCAAUGCGUUUUCUUUGAUGGGCGAAACGCAAGAAAUCGUGCAUAUCACUCUUGAUGGUGCUUUCUUUUCGGGGAAGGUAUCUGAUUAUGGAAUACUGUGAUUUGCAUCUCAUGCUGCAUUCUUGCGGCAACCUAACCGAGUUCUUGCCUCUGACUCUGCUCCUUCGAGGGCUUCCCUUGUUCAGAGUUUUUCUGUUCAUGAAAGAUUGGAGAUACUGGACAGGAGAAAUGUUCCGAAUCAAGAGGGCUUUCUUUAAGAUCUCGAUACAAUCUCACGAACACUCUUCUGCUGUAUUCCCUUGAGAUCAAGCUACGACAAGGCUGUUGCCGUUCUUAUCGAUCUUGGAAAGCCAUGUUCUUGUGGAACAGAUUCAAGAGCCAUGGUUUGGAGCAAAAAUUGACCUCUUCUGUUUACUGGAAGUUGAGGACAAAUGGUGCCUGCAGCUCUUCUGCAUGAAAUACAGCAUACUGUUAAUUCAGCAACAUGGAUUAUUAAAGGUGCUCAAAUUUUUUGGUCAGAUUGCAAAAUUUCUCUUAGUGUCACAAUGAAGAAUUCAUCGGUGAAGAGUGGUGUCGACAUCUGGUUCGCUGCUGGAAACCGGGAAGCGUGCGGCGGUCUGAUCGAGCCACGAGCUCACUGACGGUGAGGUGGACUGCGAACCCGAGCGAUCGCUGUGGUCAUCGAACCAACAGGGCGGAGGACCACGGAGAGGCCUGGAUGGACGAAUUAGAUCGGGAUGGAUGAACCACACGGGUCGGCGACACUGCUGCUGUUCCUUCUCUUCCCUCAUCUCUUUCACUCUCUGUAGCUCUCUGAAUCGCUCUUGCAGCAGCGCGAUGGACGACUGCGUCACGGUUGGUUGGUUGCCGUGCCUCCUCCCCAUGAAUCAGUUUGGAACAGUACUGAAUGAUGCGCAGGGGGGGAGGAGAAUCUAUUGGAGGGAUGCAAAGUCCAAGAGGGAAGAAGUUGGGCGUGGUGGACGGGGGCAGGGCCAAAGCCACUUUUGCAAGGGAGAUUAAAGUAUGAGAGCAGCUCCAAAGACAUGCAUGGAGGUUAGCAUUUGGAGGAGAAUCAAAGGUUAUGUGAUGGAUUGUCCUCUUAUCCUCCUUUUUGCUGAGCUUCCACUUCUCACCGGAUCAGAUCAAUGUGGCUACUGUUCUGCCUCAGGUUCUUUGUUUUAUAUGCUUAGCUCUGGGAAUCUGAACCCCGUAGCGGACCCGAUGAAGAAGAAAAGGUUCAGCCGACGCCACGAACGAUCCAGAUCGCCGUAAAGCUCCAGAUGAUGAUGAUAAAGGACGACGACAUUGUUGGGGGCUAGGUUGAUCUACACAAUCUAGGGCUUAGCACAAGUCAUCCAACUUGCUCAUUGCCCAGUAUAUGACUAAGAAGGGCCAAGAAGAUGGCAGGCGAAGUGUAUAAUCUGGUUAUGCGGUUUUACCCCAUAUGUCGUUGAUCAGAUAACCCUCCACCAAUUUCUCCCAUAACACACAUACCAAGGUGACAACCAACAAAAGAAGAAAUUGCACAGAUUAAUUUGAAUCCAGAGAGACAUCUGAAAUUAAAGUUGUGUUCACAAUUAGGUUACAACUAAUUUUCCUCUAUUUUCCCCAAUCAUGCUUCUCCGACAUGAGUUAUUUCAUGGAACAGAAUGUUCCAAACCAAUGGAGACCCUGCUAUUGAUUGAUAGUCAGCGUCGGUGAUACUCUGACCUUGAAAUUUAAGUUGACAAAUUAAUAGGCAAAACUACUCUACUCCCAUAGAAUUACAAGGCAUAGUACAAUCAAUCUGCAAAUUGGGAAUCACAUCACAGUGCACCAAUCAUCCAGAUUCAGCAGCAAGAAACAAGCAACCAAAUCAACAUCAAAUUCACAUCGCAACAGGAGGAGAUGCAGGAUCGAUCGGAAGGUACCUCGACGGUCCAAACGAAGAAAUCCAAGGGCUCCGUGGACCGGCCCUUGCUCAUCUCCCCCUUCCGUGCAAAGAAACCCUACAUGUCGCAUCACAGUGACUCCCGCUCAAAUUCAAUUCGCAAAAUCAAGAACACCACCAAGAUUUCUAUGAAGAUUACCGUCUCGACGGACCGUAAUCUUAUUAUAUUUUAUCAUCCUAUCAUA